UUCAGCCUCCAAAGACUCUCUCCUCGCUCUGAAGGUGCUCAGAAUGGCUAACACAGUCACUGAUGAGGUCAUAAUUGCACUGGGGGUGUUCAUAUGCUGAAUUUACCAUUUGAAGACCAACAUUAUGACACUUGGAGCACUACAUUGGUGGCUGUUUUCCAAGAAGCUGACAAAUAGAGAAUAAUUGCCAUUGACAAGGGGUGCAGUUAUACCUGCUAUCAAGAGGGUGAAUUAUCAUGCAGUGGAAUGGCUCCAGGAUGAUUGCACGCAUCCAAAACUACCUGCCCCUCUCAGGCACGGAUGGUCCUUGGAGGAUGGACUGAUCACACCAGUUAUGUGUAAAAUAUCAUGUGCUCUCAAAUCAAUCCUUCAGCUAAUCAAAUACUCAUGUGCAAAGACCAGAUGCUCACUGCCCUGCAAAUGUUUGGCUAGCAGCCUGCCUUGUACGGAGACAUAGUCAAUGUAUAAGGCCCAGCAGCUCUCAAACUCAGGCCUGCAGAUCUUCUACUCAGUGAACACCUCUACACUUCCAUCCAGCAGCAACAGAAGCUAGUUCACGCUCCACUACCCGCAACUCACUGAAAAAUACAGACUUCAGGAAGUCCUGCCUCAAGGGUCCAACAGGCAGUAGCUUCAUGGCUCCUGAUUGGCUCCCCACCCUAUAUAAACCCAAGUGGCAUUCCAAGAAGCAUCCAGACAACAGUGUGGACUUUCUGUAGCUGCUAUGACCAUUCUAGCUUUCUGCUAUCAAACUCCUGGGUUUGACCUCAGCUAGAUUUGGACCUUGCCUCCAGAACUGGACCCUGAAACCUGCCUCGAACUCUGAUCCUUGAGAUUGAUCCUGGCCUGGAACUUGACGACAAGCUCCUCUGCUACUCUCAGCCUCAGGUGCCUAUCUCCACUCCACGUAUUGAUGCAUCAAGGUCACUAUAGACCUGUGACCUGAAAUAUCAGCAGUGCUGGAGGAAGCAGUUGGUGACACAUGAGCUGAUCUAGAGUGUGAAGCAGCCUGCUGAAGUUCUGCCAACAAAACAGACGUGAAGCUGAUCCUGCAUGUGCACCCCAACACUCAGCAUCAUGCUUUCCUCCCAGAUGCCAUUCAGCAGCUAAAGCCCAGGUUUCACUUCCCAGAAGAUGUGUAUUUUCACCUGUCUAUCAUGUAUCUGUGUAGUAUGUGGCCUUAAAAAUCAA